CCUAGUGUACACAAUAAAAUGAGCAAAGUUGUUUCACUCCCGAAAAAGGGCCAAACACUGAAAAAAAAAAAUAUUUGUAGUCUUUUAUUCGUGUACAAGAAUAAAGAUUAUUUAUCUGUGGCCAGAAACCAGUGAUACUUAUAAUUACAGUACUAGUAAGUUCAAUAAGGUUGAAUAAGUUAACAUUACAUCAGCUAGACUCUAUAGCUAUAAUACACAUUAAUACUGCAGUUUUUCUUUCUAGUAAUACAAUUUCAUAAAUAUUAUAUACAUGAAGCUACAUUUCUUCUAUGGUCAUAUUUAUGUAUCAAGUUUGUAUUAUGAUGACAUUUUAAGCAAGUAGUACAUACCUUCAUCAGUACUUAAUACAGUCUGUACAAGUUUUGAACAAUGACUGCCACUUAGUCUACAUUUGCUGCUCAGAAUCCCUACCUAUGUUAUAGAACACGUGUAUGUUAGCUACGUCCAAUAAUCAAAUCAAACACAAGAAGUACACAAGAUCUAUGGACUAGACUAACCCUGUAUGACAAUAUUCAUGGGGUUUAGUUGCAAAAAAACUAGCAGAUUGUUCAUCAAAGGCUACAAUUCAUGCAAAUAACAACAAAUCUAGAAUUCAAUGUCUGUGCAAUAAUAUGGUAAGAUCAUCUUAUCAUAUGUUGAAGACUUGGCCUUGAUAUCGGAAGGAUACCAAUAUUCAGAUAUUAUCUGAAAAUUGCAUAGAAUUACCAGUACGUGUAUACCUGUAUUUGUCAUACCAUUGAUUUAAAUGUACCACAUACAAGUAUAGUGUAGGUAUUUACAAUUUUGGCUAUAUUAGUCAAACCUGCUCCCUUUUGGCCGUAAGUCAAACCACCCCUUCAAACCAACCACCUGGUUGUUACAAUCGCUUUUUCUCGGUCCCGAAAAUUUUUCCCACUGAUGUAAGCAUUAAGCAGCAAAUUUUGUUGUAUGAAAAUCGGAAACCAUUUAUUCUAUGCCUUGGGCAUACUGUGACUCUUCAAAUCGACCACCUGUCCAAACCGGCCGAUUUUGCCUGGUCCCACAAAUGGUCGUCUUGAGCAGGUUUGACUGUAAUUUCCUAUUGGAAAUUAACUGUUCUCUCUGAAUCUUGUGAUAAAUCUCUAAGAAAUGUGUAGUUAUCAUAUACAAGUACAGUUGGAACUUCACAUAGACACUGCAGUACUAGUGCAGAUAUAAGUCACUAGAUGGAGUCAUAGUCUAGAAGACUCAAAUCAUCAUCCAUGGGUAUCCUGCUGUACCUGUAACUGGCGACACCCCGAGACGGCCACAGGAGGUAUGACAAGACAGCAUAGGACAAGAAGUCAGCAGUCACUGUGAUGCCUGGAACAAGUGGUUGUUAAUAGAACUUUAUUGCAAAUUCAUGCUCCAAGGCUAAUUGCAAGAACAUAUGGAAAUGAAAUUGUGACAAUAAUAGGAAUAGUAUGCAUAGUCAAAAUGUUUGAUGAGGAUUCAUUUGUAUUUGAACUACAUGUAUAGAUAAAAGUGUGUAUCAUCGGCUUUCAGCAGAGCUGAAGUUGACCUGCACACCUCAGGUGCUCCCUCAUGUAUCAUUGCUGAUCUUCAAAAUGUCCUUGCUUGCUUAGUAAUGAUGACUUGUAUUCUGGUAGACAUUCAUAGAUCUAAAAGGCUUUAUACAUUAUAAAUCCUUAUUUCUGAUUUAGGCCGCAUGUUGAUUCGAUUAUGGAUGACAAAAAAGUUGAUUCACUAUGAAAUCUAAGAGAACUGGAAGGUCGAACAAAAAACACACAUGUAUGGUGUAACAAGCGAUAGAUUCUUCACUUAAGCACUUUCACAUAAUCUUUGACUUUGCAUUCUGUGACUUUUCCAUUAUCCGUUAUUUCUGAAAAAGAUCU